AGGCUUAACACAUGCAAGUCGAGGGGUAACAGGAGUAGCUUGCUACUUGCUGACGACCGGCGCACGGGUGCGUAACGCGUAUAGAAUCUACCUUGUACUAGGGGAUAGCCUUUGGAAACGAAGAUUAAUACCCUAUAGUAAGUAUUUAUGGCAUCAUUUAUACUUUAAAGGUUACGGUACAAGAUGACUAUGCGUCCUAUUAGUUUGUUGGUGAGGUAACGGCUCACCAAGACUUCGAUAGGUAGGGGCCCUGAGAGGGGGAUCCCCCACACUGGUACUGAGACACGGACCAGACUCCUACGGGAGGCAGCAGUGAGGAAUAUUGGACAAUGGAGGCAACUCUGAUCCAGCCAUGCCGCGUGCAGGAUGACGGCCCUAUGGGUUGUAAACUGCUUUUAUGUAGGAAGAAACACUCUCACGUGUGAGAGCUUGACGGUACUACAAGAAUAAGGACCGGCUAACUCCGUGCCAGCAGCCGCGGUAAUACCGAGGGUCCAAGCGUUAUCCGGAAUCAUUGGGUUUAAAGGGUCCGUAGGCGGGCUAUUAAGUCAGAGGUGAAAGUUUGCAGCUCAACUGUAAAAUUGCCUUUGAAACUGGUAGUCUUGAAUUAUUAUGAAGUGGUUAGAAUAAGUAGUGUAGCGGUGAAAUGCAUAGAUAUUACUUAGAAUACCAAUUGCGAAGGCAGAUCACUAAUAAUAUAUUGACGCUGAGGGACGAAAGCGUGGGGAGCGAACAGGAUUAGAUACCCUGGUAGUCCA
rnacentral:rRNA from 1 species